AUUCACCUCACGCUCAGCUUCCUGGAUAUUAAAAAAGAAAUAGUUAUUAAAAUAUCUCCAGAAUUAAAGUAAUAGAUUGGGGAAAGAUCUGAAUGCUGGAGCAGUCUCAGAAAAGGGUUUUCUUCCAGAUGGCUUUUGAAUUAAGGCAGCUGAGGAAGGCAAAAAGCUUUUUCACCCACGCAGCCUGACAAAGCCCAAUGCUGUGGGCAGCCCUGCUUUCUAACUUUCCUCUGUCUCUCAAUGCUUUCUGGUAAAAGCAAAUGCCCAAAGCCACCACCCUUCCAUCUGCAAAGCACCUUCCCUGAAAGCAGCCUUAGAGCCCUCUCUACGGCCAAACCCCGAUCUUUAAAAAGACAAAAUUUCCCUGUUUACUUGCGUUUCCUGCCCUCCUCUUUGCUGGGCCACAUUUGAGCUUGGAAAAAGCUUGAAGCUGAGAUGUGUUCUUAAGGGCCAGAAGCUGUCAGGGCUUUUGGUGAGCAAGAUUGAUCACACCCAGACUUCCUUCAGAGCUUUGUUUGGAAUAAAAGCAAGAAAACUGGAAAAACCCUUACAUUUUCCAAAAUAGCAUCUCUAUCUGCAAGGUAAUGCUCAGAGCUGGUCAAGGCUGGAGACCACUUUAGAGCCAAACCCCCUAACUGCUAGCUAGCCUCAGAGAUGGAGUUCUGCCCUUGCUCCUUGGUCAGCCUUUCUUGUUUUCUGCAUAGUAUUUUCUCCCCCACCAACCUUUCUCUCCUUGGCCAUCAGAAUGAUUUAUUUUCCUGCCACUGAUGCCUGCCGGCCUGGGGCAUUCUGAUCACUUGGUCCAUUUCAAAGG
rnacentral:lncRNA from 1 species